ensembl:rRNA 5S_rRNA 5S ribosomal RNA
UCUAACAGUCAUACCAUCCUGAACACACCUGAUCUCAUCUGAUCUCAGAAAGUUAAACAGGGUCAGGCCAUCAGGCCUGAUUGAUUGGACAGGAGACACAAUUAGUC